rfam:Pteropus alecto contig21584, whole genome shotgun sequence.
GUCUACAGCCAUGCUUCCCCGAACAAGCCCAUUCCCGUCUGAUCUCGGAAGCUAAGCAAGGUCCAGCCUGGUUAGUACUUGGAUGGGAGACCACCCAGGAAGACCAGGUGCUGUAGGCA